rnacentral:rRNA from 1 species
GAUGAACGCUGGCGGCGUGCCUAAUACAUGCAAGUCGAGCGAACAGACGAGGAGCUUGCUCCUCUGACGUUAGCGGCGGACGGGUGAGUAACACGUGGAUAACCUACCUAUAAGACUGGGAUAACUUCGGGAAACCGGAGCUAAUACCGGAUAAUAUAUUGAACCGCAUGGUUCAAUAGUGAAAGACGGUUUUGCUGUCACUUAUAGAUGGAUCCGCGCCGCAUUAGCUAGUUGGUAAGGUAACGGCUUACCAAGGCAACGAUGCGUAGCCGACCUGAGAGGGUGAUCGGCCACACUGGAACUGAGACACGGUCCAGACUCCUACGGGAGGCAGCAGUAGGGAAGCUUCCGCAAGGGGCGAAAGCCUGACGGAGCAACGCCGCGUGAGUGAUGAAGGUCUUCGGAUCGUAAAACUCUGUUAUUAGGGAAGAACAAAUGUGUAAGUAACGAUGCACGUCUGGACGGUACCUAAGCAGAAAGCCACGGCUAACUACGU